GGUUCUACAAUGUAGCGGUUAGCAUGUCUGCUUUACACACAAAAGGUCCUGGGUUUGCAUGCCAGUAGAGCCA
rnacentral:tRNA from 1 species